rnacentral:rRNA from 1 species
GAUGAACGCUGGCGGCGUGCCUAAUACAUGCCAGUCGAGCGAACAGAUGAGGAGCUUGCUCCUCUGACGUUAGCGGCGGACGGGUGAGUAACACGUGGAUAACCUACCUAUAAGACUGGGAUAACUUCGGGAAACCGGAGCUAAUACCGGAUAAUAUAUUGAACCGCAUGGUUCAAUAGUGAAAGACGGUUUUGCUGUCACUUAUAGAUGGAUCCGCGCCGCAUUAGCUAGUUGGUAAGGUAACGGCUUACCAAGGCGACGAUGCGUUGCCGACCUGAGAGGGUGAUCGGCCACACUGGAACUGAGACACGGUCCAGACUCCUACGGGAGGCAGCAGUAGGGAAUCUUCCGCAAUGGGCGAAAGCCUGACGGAGCAACGCCGCGUGAGUGAUGAAGGUCUUCGGAUCGUAAAACUCUGUUAUUAGGGAAGAACAAAUGUGUAAGUAACUAUGCACGUCUUGACGGUACCUAAUCAGAAAGCCACGGCUAACUACGUG